rnacentral:rRNA from 1 species
UACGAAGGGGGCUAGCGUUGUUCGGAAUUACUGGGCGUAAAGCGCACGUAGGCGGACUACUAAGUCAGGGGUGAAAUCCCGGGGCUCAACCCCGGAACUGCCUUUGAUACUCAGAGUCUCGAGUCCGGAAGAGGUGAGUGGAAUUCCGAGUGUAGAGGUGAAAUUCGUAGAUAUUCGGAGGAACACCAGUGGCGAAGGCGGCUCACUGGUCCGGUACUGACGCUGAGGUGCGAAAGCGUGGGGAGCAAACAGG